CUCUUCUUAGCCCAUAUUUAUUAUUCUCUUCUGCAUCUCAACAGGAGUAAUCUCAAUAGCCAAAAGCGAACGGGGAAACAGGUCAAAAUUAAGUACAAAAACAUUCUACAAAGUGGUAAGUAGCCUUUGCUGACAUGCGAAUUAUGAAUGUAAAAAUAGGAGCUUGAGCUGUUACUAUGUACAAUUGCAGCAGUCCUCUGAAGACAUCCCCCAAUUAACCCCAGCACUACUUGUUCAAGGUACACACUGCUACUUAUCCUCCAGCUGGGGGUCUCUCAGGUAUCUCUAACAGCUUGUCUUUGCCUUUUAGUGUGUGGGGACACAAUAAAUUUGCUUGACCCACCAACUCAAGAUGCUGACAUCAUCCCUGAUCCAUGUGUGCGUAUGUCAGAUGUAUCUUGAAUUCUAUAAGUGCAAGUCUGUCUUGUCAUGCUUUAAAUACUUUGAUGUGCAUCAAUCUGCAGGGUGGAGGACCAUCUGCCACAAGGGCCUGUGAGGAGGAGGAGGAGGACACCAUAUCAGCCCAAACUGAUCUGCAAGAGGUCAGGAC